rnacentral:rRNA from 1 species
GACGAACGCUGGCGGCGUGCUUAACACAUGCAAGUCGAACGAAGAGCGAUGGAAGCUUGCUUCUAUCAAUCUUAGUGGCGAACGGGUGAGUAACGCGUAAUCAACCUGCCCUUCAGAGGGGGACAACAGUUGGAAACGACUGCUAAUACCGCAUACGAUCUAAUCUCGGCAUCGAGGAAAGAUGAAAGGUGGCCUCUAUUUAUAAGCUAUCACUGAAGGAGGGGAUUGCGUCUGAUUAGCUAGUUGGAGGGGUAACGGCCCACCAAGGCGAUGAUCAGUAGCCGGUCUGAGAGGAUGAACGGCCACAGUGGGACUGAGACACGGCCCAGACUCCUACGGGAGGCAGCAGUGGGGAAUCUUCCGCAAUGGACGAAAGUCUGACGGAGCAACGCCGCGUGAGUGAUGACGGCCUUCGGGUUGUAAAGCUCUGUUAAUCGGGACGAAAGGCCUUCUUGCGAACAGUUAGAAGGAUUGACGGUACCGGAAGAGAAAGCCACGGCUAACUACGUG